AAGCAUUCAUGGUACUUCAUCGCUGCAGUUGCGACGCCGUAUGAUGAUGACACCACCACUACUUCUACCACCACCACCACCAAAUAACAUUAUCAUCACGAAAUCAACAAUGCCCUCAUAGGACCAUUGGGGCCUCAGACUUCAUGCAAGGCGGCCUUUUGAGCAGUGUUUCUGUCCAGUCCAUCCUGUUUGCCUCUCAUCGUCCCCAUACCCCAGACUUUUCCCCAGAGUGUUCAUGCUCGCCUCGUCAUCAUCAUCAUCAUCAUCAUCAUCCCCAUCCAUACGCACAUCUCCCGCCCCCGGAACUUUCAAGGCUCGGACUGGCUGGACUGAAUUGUCGAGGUUCGUUCUCGGUCUCUGCCUCAAUCGACUGACUUCGGUUCCUUUAAGGCCACCUACAUCACGCUUGGAUCUUUUUUUCCAUUGCCCAGUGUCAUGGCCGCCACCUCAUCAGCGAUACGCCCUUUUCGAAAGCCAUCUGACGUCCCACGAGAAUGUCGUGAUCCAAUAACCCAUAGCAACUCAUCUGCCAUGAUCCGUUUUGUGAUGCAGUUGGUCCACAGCCGGGUGAGCACUGCCUAGAGUGCUCUUCCUGAGGCGAAAAUUUUCUCGAGACACGCGAGCUUGAAGCAAGACUGAAGUGUCAUGACGCCGUGGAACCGACUCGCUGAAGGGUAAGCAAUGGAGGCCGAUGUAACGGGCAGAUAAUAGACAGACUCGAGGGAGGCAACUCUGGCUGGAACGUAGCAACAACUAAAG